UCCGUGAGUUCCGUUGUACUGUCUGGAUGAAGAGGAGUUAUUCUUUUCCCUUGGAGUAGAGGUUGAACCAGGAACUGAACCUGGGCUUCCAAUGCAGCCUCUGCCUCCUGAACAGCAGUACCUUAGCAGCGUGCACCUGAGCACCUCAGCAACAGCGCCUUUCAUUUAAGUCUUUCCAAAGGAAGGUUGUGUCUUCAGCAGCAACCUGUGCUCUGUCCACACAAUAUGACCACAUUUACCACAUAUGAAAAACACACCUCUGAAGGGAUUUUCAGGAUGAUAUUGAAGAGCAGAGGAAAUAAUGGGGCAUCUGACCUGGCCAUGGCCCCGGUGGAAACGUGUCUACUGCAGUCAAGGCAGCAGCACCCAGUAAGCGUGAGCGGCGUAUGACUGAGAGUCUCACAUCGCCUUCUCUCGAACCGUGUGACUCACCCGUCUCCGUGGCCAUGUCCUUGCCCUCAUUCUGAUUUGUUCUCCUUUUUAUUCCUUAAUAGUGAAAGCAUUUUGUAUGUCUCUCAAUGCAAUCUUGAUCA